ACCAGAAUGGUUUAAUGGUUUGAGUGCUGGACUAUGACUCUGGAGACCUGGGUUUGAUUCCCAGCUCUGUAU